rnacentral:rRNA from 1 species
CAAGUCGGACGGUAGCACAGAGGAGCUUGCUCCUUGGGUGACGAGUGGCGGACGGGUGAGUAAUGUCUGGGGAUCUGCCCGAUAGAGGGGGAUAACCACUGGAAACGGUGGCUAAUACCGCAUAACGUCGCAAGACCAAAGAGGGGGACCUUCGGGCCUCUCACUAUCGGAUGAACCCAGAUGGGAUUAGCUAGUAGGCGGGGUAAUGGCCCACCUAGGCGACGAUCCCUAGCUGGUCUGAGAGGAUGACCAGCCACACUGGAACUGAGACACGGUCCAGACUCCUACGGGAGGCAGCAGUGGGGAAUAUUGCACAAUGGGCGCAAGCCUGAUGCAGCCAUGCCGCGUGUAUGAAGAAGGCCUUCGGGUUGAAAGUACUUUCAGCGGGGAGGAAGGCGGUGAGGUUAAUAACCUCGCCGAUUGACGUUACCCGCAGAAGAAGCACCGGCUAACUCCGUGCCAGCAGCCGCGGUAAUACGGAGGGUGCAAGCGUUAAUCGGAAUUACUGGGCGUAAAGCGCACGCAGGCGGUCUGUUAAGUCAGAUGUGAAAUCCCCGGGCUUAACCUGGGAACUGCAUUUGAAACUGGCAGGCUUGAGUCUCGUAGAGGGGGGUAGAAUUCCAGGUGUAGCGGUGAAAUGCGUAGAGAUCUGGAGGAAUACCGGUGGCGAAGGCGGCCCCCUGGACGAAGACUGACGCUCAGGUGCGAAAGCGUGGGAGCAACAGGAUUAGAUACCCUGGUAGUCCACGCCGUAAACGAUGUCGACUUGGAGGUUGUUCCUUGAGAGUGGCUUCUAGAGCUUACGCGUUAAGUCACCGCCUGG